CCGCAUGGCCUCCCCUGCCCCACCCAGACACAGCCGGGCAGGGGAGAGGUCAGAUCCACUCACUGCUGGACUCCAAAGAGGAAGCCUCUCUGGGAAUGCUCUGCUUUUAACCCCUGUGUGUUCUCAGAGGCGUAUCCAAGUCCCCAGUGGCCACACCAGGUGCCAAUUUCAAAUCUGGCCACUGAUUUUUUUGACCAUAACUUUCCCAGAAACUCACUUCCUGGUCAAACCAUGACAGGGGUCCUGAGUUUCACAAUCGUCCCCCUGAUUCUGUGAGGCACCAGAGUGUCACAAUGGUCUCUGUGCUUCAAUGAGAUUCCAUGGUGCCACCAUGGUCUCCUUGGAUCUGCAUUGUCACAAUGGCCCCUUGGUUCCAUGAGUUUCUGUACUGUCAGCAAUGGUUUCUUUGCUCCAGAGAGGCCCUGAUGUGUCACAACAGCUCCUUGGUUCCUGUUGCUGUUGAGUAAGAAAGUGGCACAGACUCUAAGAAGGCUGGUUUGCACAGCAGCAGCUUUAAUAUGAAAAACUCUCUUUUAUAGACCAUUCUGAUAUAUUUCACCUGACUGGCAAAUUAAAAAAACCACCUUUCUCAAUCCUUAAGAACAGAAAAACAGAGAGUAGGAAAACACCACCUGAAGGUUGUUUAUAAUAACAAGCUAUCGUUAUUUCUCUACAACUCCCUAGAAGUCUCACAAAACUGCUGUGAGAAAACUUAUCUGGUUUUCUCGCUCUCUGACCAGACUGUCACAUCCACAGGUUCCAUAAGGUUCCAUAGUGUCAUGUAGGGAAAAUCAAGUUAUGAAAAGCCAGCGUCCAUGAAGGAGACAGAGGAGUCCUUCAACUUUAUUGGAAUAAACGGAGAGAAUCCAUCAGGACACACGCCCACAGGGUUUUCUCUCUCAAGGUUUCAGAGGGCACAGCCUCCUUUCAUCCUGAGCUCCUGGCUGCACGUUGCCCUCCUCCUUUCCCCACUGGCUGCGGCACAAGGAAGGUACAGCCUUCCUGAACUGCCUACCCCAUAUUCCCCUCUUGAACCUGUCAUUUUAACCCAAACAUCAGAAACUCAAGCUUGUGCAGACCCACUUGUCUGUUUCAGGAGCCAAGCUGUCUGGGCUCUGUAAUAAAACUGUUGCUUGAUGUCAGUAGAGACAUUAAGACCCAUUUCACAGAUGUUAACACCCCUACCUUCACCCAUCGAAUCGUUGGUAAAGACAUCUUGCCUGUCAGUCACAAUGGACUCCUCAGUUCUGUGAGGCCCUACGGAGUCACAACUGACCCAUGGCUCCAUGAGGUUCCCCAGUGUCACCAAGGUGUCCUUGGACGGCAUUGUCACAACUGACCCAUGGCUCCAUGAGGUUCCCCAGUGUCACCAAGGUGUCCUUGGACUGCAUUGUCACAACUGACCCAUGGCUCCAUGAGGUUCCCCAGUGUCACCGUGGUUGCUGUCAGAGGCUGGAUGAGAUCCAUGUCCCGAGACACCUCGGGAUGCUCGGAAUGCCCGUGUGGGGCCAGGGCCGGGUCAGGCCUUGGUCUGUGGUGGGACAGAGCCCAGCCCUGGCCUGCCAGAGCUGUGAAUCACACUGCAGAGGUGGUGUUAACCCAGCUCUGAUUGGCAGAGCUGUCAUUCACACAGCAGGCAGUGCUAACCCAGUUCUGAUAGGCCAAGGUGUCAAUCAGUCACACACAUGGGCUGUGUAACCCAGGUCUGACUGGGCAAUCUGUCAGCCAAUCACACACCAGGGUUGGUACCAACCCUGACUCUGAUUGGCCAAGCAACCAGAAGUCCUACCUAAGGGGUGGGCCCAUAGAGUCCCAGGGGUUUAAAAGACUGAGCUUAACCUCAGCCAAUGGCUUGGGCCUUGCCUUUUGAAGUUUGUGGUUCCCUAGUUGUGUGAAAAAAUGCAUAUUUUAUGAUUGGCUUUUCACAAAUAUUAAAGUGUAUAUUAUAUGUGGUAUGUUAGAAAGUUAUGCUGUAUUAAUUUUCUAAAGUAGUGUGUUAAAUACAAUUUUAGGUUAUAACAUAAUAUUAAAAUAGAAGCUAUGCUAUGUAAGAUACUUUUUUUAAAAUAAAGGACUCACACCAGAUAGCAGCCACAGGACACUUAAAUCUCUCAGAGAAAGACAAUUUAUUGCUCCAUUAUCAGAAGAAAUGAACUUCUUCCUGCUUUGCUCAGCCCUGAAGAUGACGUUAGGAUUAAGAGGAAGAAGUUGACAAUGACCAGACAGAAUCCUUUGUUUGAAUGGAAUUUAUGCAUCGUGAAUGAAGUGUAUGAAUAUGCAACAGGCUAUUGUUUUUAAGGGCUAAUCCUCUGUUAACAUGUGUCCUUUUUUGGGCUUAUUUUGCCUAGAAAGAGGUACCCAGACUGUCCAUAACUUUUUGUUUUUAUUGUCUCAUAUUGUCCUAAUCUCUAUUGUUCAAAUUUUUAUUACUCUAAUUAUAUUGCUAUUUUUAUAACCAUUUUAUUAUGAUUAAACUUUUAAAAUUUUAAAAACAAUGACUGGCUUUUUUUUCACAUGUCUUUCUGUGAAAAUCUGUGUCUUUCUGUAUCUCUUCUCUUUCUUCACCUUUAAAUCCUUUUUACCUGGAGCACUAUUGGGUAACAUAACAUCUUAAGGGUUUAAAGGUUUCCAGGUUAGAUGCGCUAUGUUAAUGAAGUUAAUGCUAUGGAAAGCAUUUUAUGCUGAAGUGUGUAGCAGCACAGGUGCUACCAAUGUUCCUGGAGUGUCCUGCGUUUCCAAGCCCGAAGCCUGUUGAACUUGAUGAUCCUUGUGGGUCCCUUCCUACCAAGAAUAUUCUUUGCAUCUGGCCAUGUUGGGAAUACCUGGUUGGUGUUUCUCCUGCGCACCAAACUCAAGGAAAGGAGCCUUUGGUUCCCCCGAGCAUUUCAGUGUUCUGGGGUGUUCCAGCCCUGCAGGCUCACAAUGGCCUCUUGUUUCCAUGAGGCCCCACAGUGUCCCACUGGCCCCUUGGUUCCAUGGGCCCAACAGUGCCACAAUGAUCCCCUUGGUCCCACAACUUCCCACAGUGUCACACUGGCCCCUUGGAUCCAUGAGGAUCUGGAGUGUCACACAGUUCAGAGAAAAGGUGACUGAAGCUUUCCCCAGGUGAUCUUGAUGCUGAAUGUCUCCUUAGGAGGUCUGGGCACAGAGAAGAAUGAGACCCUUGCAGGCUGACUCUAGAUAACGUGCUCCUCAUCCCCGGCCUCACCAUGUCUGACAUCAUCCACCUGAGACUAACAUCUAAAAUACAAAAAAAAUUAAUGCAAAUUAUUCUUUAUUUUUAAUAUUUUAAUUAAAUGUAUUUAUUGUAUUUAUUUCUUAUUUGUAAUAAUAAUUGUUUUAUUUUUAUUACCUAAUUUUAUAUUUACAUCAAAAAUCUGUACAUAUUUAGCAACUAAUAAAAUUAAUGUUCAUUGGUUCUAAGUAUCACAA